rnacentral:rRNA from 1 species
UAUCUGGCCUGUAUUCAGCCGCUCGUUGUCGGCCCACCGUUGCUGCACUCCAGAUUGGGAAGGCGGCGUGGGCGCUGGCUGCGUGUGGUGCAUUUGCAGGUGGAGUGCGCCGAGGCGCUCGGCUCAGCGGCAUGAGCUCAGCUUUGAGGCCAACCGUGCAAACGGUCUGGUACCCGGGCUGGGGGAGUGUUGUUUGGGCUGGGUGUUCGCUUGUGGCUGUGGUUUCGGGCCCGGGUGGGUGCCGAGCUGGCGGUCGGUGGCGGUCGCUUGCGACACGUGCCAGCAGUCAGUUCGGUCCUGCUCGAGCUCUCAUUGUGGCCCGGCCUCGGUGUAAAAGCCGGUCAUCUGUCCGACCCGUCUUGAAACACGGACCAAGGAGUUUAGCGUGUGCGCGAGUCAUUGGGCGUUGAAAACCCAAAGGCGCAAUGAAAGUGAAGGUCUGCCUUGUGCAGCUGAUGUGUGAUCCCGGGCGCUGCGGCGCACGGGCGCAACAUAGUCCCGUCCCGACUGCAUGCAGUGGGGCGGAGACAGAGCGUACGCGCUGAG